rnacentral:rRNA from 1 species
GACGAACGCUGGCGGCGUGCCUAAUACAUGCAAGUCGAGCGGACCGACGGGAGCUUGCUCCCUUAGGUCAGCGGCGGACGGGUGAGUAACACGUGGGUAACCUGCCUGUAAGACUGGGAUAACUCCGGGAAACCGGGGCUAAUACCGGAUGCUUGAUUGAGCCGCAUGGUUCAAUUAUAAAAGGUGGCUUUCAGCUACCACUUACAGAUGGACCCGCGGCGCAUUAGCUAGUUGGUGAGGUAACGGCUCACCAAGGCGACGAUGCGUAGCCGACCUGAGAGGGUGAUCGGCCACACUGGGACUGAGACACGGCCCAGACUCCUACGGGAGGCAGCAGUAGGGAAUCUUCCGCAAUGGACGAAAGUCUGACGGAGCAACGCCGCGUGAGUGAUGAAGGUUUUCGGAUCGUAAAACUCUGUUGUUAGGGAAGAACAAGUACCGUUCGAAUAGGGCGGCACCUUGACGGUACCUAACCAGAAAGCCACGGCUAACUACGUGCCAGCAGCCGCGGUAAUACGUAGGUGGCAAGCGUUGUCCGGAAUUAUUGGGCGUAAAGCGCGCGCAGGCGGUUUCUUAAGUCUGAUGUGAAAGCCCCCGGCUCAACCGGGGAGGGUCAUUGGAAACUGGGGAACUUGAGUGCAGAAGAGGAGAGUGGAAUUCCACGUGUAGCGGUGAAAUGCGUAGAGAUGUGGAGGAACACCAGUGGCGAAGGCGACUCUCUGGUCUGUAACUGACGCUGAGGCGCGAAAGCGUGAGGAGCG